CCCAUCUGGUGUGGAAU
rnacentral:rRNA from 1 species